UACUCGUACAUACAACCUGAGGAAAGUUUUCUUCUUUUGCCAAAAAGAAAAAAAAAAAAAAGGAAGAAAGAAAAAGAAAAAAAGAAAAUCAGUAAUUAUUUCUGUAAUUUCUGGCUUUGAGAAAGAAAAGGAGGAAGAAUAUUGUGACCAUUAUUCACACCAAGGAUUAACGGCGCCCUUAAGAAAAGUUCCUCCUACUUAGGAACGUGAGCACAGGGGUUUCAAGACAAAUUUUUCUAUUAAACCAUUGUGACUAUUUCUAGACAUGCAUGUCAAAGGGGGCAAUCGGUUUUUCAGGAGGAGGAUACAACUUUUCCCCUAGAAGUUACGUACGGCCAGAAGUGUCCCAGUCCAGUCAUAAAAGGAGCAGAAUGUUUUGUAAAGCACACAUGGUAAUUUAUGUCUCAAGUAAAAAUCUCAGAACAUUUUGGAUGGGAUAGUGAUGGUGCACCAACGAUUCAUCCAUUUAAACAGAUUAGACUUACGACGUGCCUAUUUAUCCAAGAAGGAACUGGUGAGGAGGAUGCAUGAGAAAAAUGACCCUGUGUAAACGCGAAAGAAGGAAGACAAAACAAGGAGAGGCGGUAGACAAGGGGAUGGGCAAAGGCCCUGGAGUGCACACGGGUAGCUGCAGAGGGCCAAGGAACAGGAGGAAGGCUGCUCUCCCAGGCUUGCAAGGAGACACCUCCCCCAGUGUUCACUCCAGGGGAGGGGAUGGCCUUCCUCUUAGCCACUCAAGCAGGGGUCCAAGGAAGAACCCAAAGCAUUAAACAUCUGGGGACCAACCUGAGCCAGGAGCUGCAAGACCUCUGCGCCGAGAGCAAUAAAACAUGACU